GCUAGCUGUGCUGAAAUUUCCAAUAACAGCAAGAUAUUGGAGACGCUAAACUACGAACACAGUUACACUUCAAGCAUAAAGAUCUAAAUGUUCGCGGGUUUUCAGGAUUAUAAGUAAUGUCACCCGAGGUAAAAUAAAGCUUCCAACGUAAGUGGCAACAACCUUAAUUGAAAUAGUUGUUAAUAAUUCAAGCACGUUAGGUGAAAGAACAGCCCGAAAAUAAGUAAAACACACGCCAAAUCAUUGUGGGAGAAUGGGUUCAGGGUGAAGUAAACCAAUUAUAUACAUUAUACUCUCAAACUCUGGACAACCCAAAGACUCAUUAAGCCUUAUGUUUUCAUCCCGCAGGCGUAUAUAUAAGACCUGCUAGGAGAGACUGAAUGCUCCAUAGGAGCUCUGCCCGAAGGGUAGCGACCCCCUCUGACAUAGACCUGAACCAAGGGGUGAUAAUCCCCUUGAACAGUACCUACGAUUCGACUGAUUAUAUUUACAUAAAUAACCUGAGUCUAUGGGCCUGAAGUUGACCAUUGGGAACACUUCAACCCCACAAAUACACAGCAUGUGUAUUCCCCAUAGACGAACUCCCACCACAGCUGUAUUUGUAUACAAGACAGCUGCUGCCAGAUGAUAGUUAGACAUAUAUUUGGGCGUUACCAUCACUCAUACUAUAGCUGGAUAGUCAGGGAGGUCAGAAAAAACCUGGAAUAUACAGGAAACCUGGAUGGGGCCAAGACAACCAGCAGCUUCCCCACAAAGCUUCUAUCUUACAAUUUUUUAAUUGGAGGGUUGGUAACACGACAAACAAAGCUCACCAUCGAGGCACAUUUUAUUUAUUUUUAUUUAUUUAUUUAUUUUUUUUUUUUUAUAAAGUUAAUGUGUUCAAAAUACGUUUUGCACAACAUUUAUUUGUUAACCACACUUAUUUUAUUUCAAUUAUGAUCAGUGGAACUUUCUCGAAUUAUGUGACAUUACUCUCAGAAAAAUAGCUUAUUCAUUACUUUAAUUCAAAAUAGCAAGACCAAAAUUUUGCGAUCGAACAUCCGAUCAUGCAUGCAUGAUAUUAGCAGAAAGAAAUUGUAAGAAUAUGUAUGUGGUAGUCAAAAUAGAUUAUAUGCAGUAAAUAAUAGCACAUCAAAGGAUUUUCAAUUUUCAAAAGCGUAGGUGUUGCCCGCUCACUAAAUUCUCGA